UGCAGUCGACGCUUCUUUUUCCACCGGAGCUUGCUCCACCGGAAAAAGAGGAGUGGCGAACGGGUGAGUAACACGUGGGUAACCUGCCCAUCAGAAGGGGAUAACACUUGGAAACAGGUGCUAAUACCGUAUAACAAUCRAAACCGCAUGGUUUUGAUUUGAAAGGCGCUUUCGGGUGUCGCUGAUGGAUGGACCCGCGGUGCAUUAGCUAGUUGGUGAGGUAACGGCUCACCAAGGCCACGAUGCAUAGCCGACCUGAGAGGGUGAUCGGCCACAUUGGGACUGAGACACGGCCCAAACUCCUACGGGAGGCAGCAGUAGGGAAUCUUCGGCAAUGGACGAAAGUCUGACCGAGCAACGCCGCGUGAGUGAAGAAGGUUUUCGGAUCGUAAAACUCUGUUGUUAGAGAAGAACAAGGAUGAGAGUAACUGUUCAUCCCUUGACGGUAUCUAACCAGAAAGCCACGGCUAACUACGUGCCAGCAGCCGCGGUAAUACGUAGGUGGCAAGCGUUGUCCGGAUUUAUUGGGCGUAAAGCGAGCGCAGGCGGUUUCUUAAGUCUGAUGUGAAAGCCCCCGGCUCAACCGGGGAGGGUCAUUGGAAACUGGGAGACUUGAGUGCAGAAGAGGAGAGUGGAAUUCCAUGUGUAGCGGUGAAAUGCGUAGAUAUAUGGAGGAACACCAGUGGCGAAGGCGGCUCUCUGGUCUGUAACUGACGCUGAGGCUCGAAAGCGUGGGGAGCAAACAGGAUUAGAUACCCUGGUAGUCCACGCCGUAAACGAUGAGUGCUAAGUGUUGGAGGGUUUCCGCCCUUCAGUGCUGCAGCUAACGCAUUAAGCACUCCGCCUGGGGAGUACGACCGCAAGGUUGAAACUCAAAGGAAUUGACGGGGGCCCGCACAAGCGGUGGAGCAUGUGGUUUAAUUCGAAGCAACGCGAAGAACCUUACCAGGUCUUGACAUCCUUUUGACCACUCUAGAGAUAGAGCUUCCCCUUCGGGGGCAAAGUGACAGGUGGUGCAUGGUUGUCGUCAGCUCGUGUCGUGAGAUGUUGGUUAAGUCCCGCAACGAGCGCAACCCUUAUUGUUAGUUGCCAUCAUUCAGUUGGGCA
rnacentral:rRNA from 1 species